ACCUAGCCUCAGGUGAUCUGCCUGCCUCGGCCUCCCAAAGUGCUAGGAUUACAGGCACGAGCCACCGUGCCUGGCUGGGCCCUUUCUUUUGUCUAGAGGCCCUGGGAUGCAGCCCGCUGACAUCUUCCUUGAAAUCUCACACAACCACUUUCUCUUUUGGGGUCAGCCUCUCCCCCAUGCCUGGCUGGGGCAUAAAAAUAUAUAGUAUUUUCUCAACAGCUCCCUGCUUUUCUUUCCUUUCCAGAAACAGGCCCACAGCAGCCCUUCUUGAGAACUCUGAGGACUCUCAUGACUUUUUUUGGUUCUUUUUCUGGCUCUGAUUUCUCUUUCAGCUGAAGUCUUGUUCUUGCCUCCGUGUCUCCUGUCUGUUCCCUUACCUGUACCCUGCCUCAGGCCCAAAUUGUCGGACACAAGACUUGCUUAAAGUUUCCUCUAAACCAGCUCUAAACAGAAGGCUGUUAGGUGUGGCAGACUUUGUCUUUUUUCUCCAAUUUUUAUGAAUCAAUAACCUGUUAAAGCGCUCAGCAGGACCAGUCUCUGCAAGACCUUUCCUUAGGAGGAAGUUCUGUUAUGGGACAAAGAUGUCCGCAAUCACUGUUCCUGACUUAGGCUUCCUGAGUCUCAUCACCCGAAGCUCUGAGUUUGUCUGGCCUUCUUUGUCCCCUGCUCCCCAUUGCUUCCUCCCCGACUCCCACUUUCUUCAAUGACCGCCACCAGCACUGCUGCUCCCACCACCUUACAGCCUCCUUUCCAGCAAGGCUUUGAGAGGCCACCUGGUCAGGACAGUGAGUUAAGCUCAUUAAUGAGGUUCUGGGUCCUCACAGCUCUGUAAUUUUCAUUUCUGCACCUCCCCAGUCUGGGUGACACAGGAGACUGACCAACUAUGGGUAUUUCCAGCCUCUGCCCACUCCUCAGAAGCCCAGCACAGCUCCCAGUGUCUCCUAGCACAUUUAUUUAUUGAUAAACAGACAUGUUUAAUGAUAGCUUGCUUUUCACGGAGAUGACUACAGAGACUUCUAAUCUAUAAUCCAGGAGUAUGUAACCAUGCAGCACAGACCAAUUAGCCACAUGUAAAAUAAACUAGAUUCUUACCACAACUACCCUGUAAACAUGGCAACUAUUCUUUCCAAGAGGACCCUAAUUUUAUGUGAAAACACCUGCUGUGGGGGAACCAGAAACCUAGCUAUGUGGCCAAAAGUAAAAACCAAAGGAAAAAAUAGCAAUUCAGUGGUUAAUUGGUGAAAGCAGGGAAUUUGUGCCCUUUACUGUGCUGCUGCUUUGGUCUUU
rnacentral:lncRNA from 1 species